rnacentral:lncRNA from 1 species
AUGCAAAACGGUCCAGGAUGCUAUCGUCCCCUAGUCGCUGCUGCACCAUCGAGGUCAGCGCGCAGCAAGUCACAGAGAGGCCACGUCGGCUGCAGACCUCGGCGGCGGGCGGUGGCGGCGCGUGUCCACGCGAGGGCGCUGCGCACCGCGCUUCAGCCCGGCCUCGCCGUCUCCAGGGGCGGUCUCCGGGCGCCAGGGGGCGUGCGAGGACCGAGGAGCGCGCAAGAGCCAGCCCGCGGAUCCCGGACCGCGCGCCCCCGCCGUGUGCCCCGCCGUGUGCCCCACUGUGUGCGGGGUCCCGGGAGCGCGACCGGUCUGCCCGGGCCUCCUCCGCAGAUGAAGCGGCGGCUGGAAGGUCUCGGGGGCGCGCCAAGCCAGAGGCGCUUGCCUUCACACCUGUGCGGGGCUCACCUGGUUCUGCGGCCGGCCCGGGCGUUACCUGCAUGCACCGUGCUCUACCUGCGGGAGCGGAGCGGAGUCCGCGGUGCCUGCGUGGCCGGGGCAGGAACCCCCAGGAUCCCACCAGACCGCCGUGUCCUCACGCUCCUUGGCUGCAGCAUUUCUCGGACUCUGCUUGUCUCUGGUGACCGUGACAGUGUGAAGAGUAUUGUGAAGGCUUUCUCGACUGGGGUUUUCUCACGGGUGUCGUUGGAAGUCCCUGUGUGCAGCCCACACUGA